rnacentral:rRNA from 1 species
GACGAACGCUGGCGGCGUGCUUAACACAUGCAAGUCGAACGGUGAAAGGGAGCUUGCUCCCUGGAUCAGUGGCGAACGGGUGAGUAACACGUGGGCAACCUGCCCCAGACUUCGGGAUAACGCUUCGAAAGGAGUGCUAAUACCGGAUACGAACUCCUUGGGCAUCCUUGGGGUUGGAAAGUUUUUCGGUCUGGGAUGGGCCCGCGGCCUAUCAGCUUGUUGGUGAGGUAACGGCUCACCAAGGCGACGACGGGUAGCCGGCCUGAGAGGGCGACCGGCCACACUGGGACUGAGACACGGCCCAGACUCCUACGGGAGGCAGCAGUGGGGAAUAUUGCGCAAUGGGCGAAAGCCUGACGCAGCAACGCCGCGUGAGGGAUGACGGCCUUCGGGUUGUAAACCUCCUUCAGCAGGGAAGAAGCGAAAGUGACGGUACCUGCAGAAGAAGCACCGGCUAACUACGUGCCAGCCGCCGCCGUAAGAC